CCCAGCAGGAGCUUCUUCAGUCUGCCCAGGAGAAGAAAGCUCUGAGCAGCAAAUGAACAAGUGAGAGACGCUGGCCCAGGAGCACCCAAUAAGAUGCACAGCCAAUGGACAAGUGUCAUGUAUGGCAUCAAAUGAGCUCAAAGCACUGGGAGAAGAUGAAAGAGAGAAUAGACCCUGGCCUUCAAGGAGUUUCCCCAGGUGAGGAGCUGGGCACACCUGAGAUGAUCAGACAAGUCUGGACUUGAGGUAGCUAUGGAGAAAGCCAGUUGCCAUAUUGUGAGGAUGCUCAAGCAGCCUCCUGGAGACAAUGAUAUGGAGGGAAACCAACUUUCCAGCCAUGGUUCCCAGGCCUACCAACUCAGCAAGUACCAAAAAAGAGUCACAUUGAACCCACAGUGGGCUCCCUGUAUUGGAGGAGAGCAAGCACCAGCAUUUGUGCCUUGGAGGAACUGACUGAUGUCUGAGAAGUUGGCCUCCCCAGAGGAC